rnacentral:tRNA from 1 species
GAGGGUAUACCUCAAAGUGGUAGAGCACAUGCUUAGCAUGCACAAGGUCCUGGGUUCAAUCCCCAGUACCUCCU